rnacentral:rRNA from 1 species
ACACGUGAGUAACCUGCCCUUGACUCUGGGAUAAGCCUGGGAAACUGGGUCUAAUACCGGAUAUGACUCCUCAUCGCAUGGUGGGGGGUGGAAAGCUUUAUUGUGGUUUUGGAUGGACUCGCGGCCUAUCAGCUUGUUGGUGAGGUAAUGGCUCACCAAGGCGACGACGGGUAGCCGGCCUGAGAGGGUGACCGGCCACACUGGGACUGAGACACGGCCCAGACUCCUACGGGAGGCAGCAGUGGGGAAUAUUGCACAAUGGGCGAAAGCCUGAUGCAGCGACGCCGCGUGAGGGAUGACGGCCUUCGGGUUGUAAACCUCUUUCAGUAGGGAAGAAGCGAAAGUGACGGUACCUGCAGAAGAAGCGCCGGCUAACUACGUGCCAGCAGCCGCGGUAAUACGUAGGGCGCAAGCGUUAUCCGGAAUUAUUGGGCGUAAAGAGCUCGUAGGCGGUUUGUCGCGUCUGCCGUGAAAGUCCGGGGCUCAACUCCGGAUCUGCGGUGGGUACGGGCAGACUAGAGUGAUGUAGGGGAGACUGGAAUUCCUGGUGUAGCGGUGAAAUGCGCAGAUAUCAGGAGGAACACCGAUGGCGAAGGCAGGUCUCUGGGCAUUAACUGACGCUGAGGAGCGAAAGCAUGGGGAGCGAACAGGAUUAGAUACCCUGGUAGUCCAUGCCGUAAACGUUGGGCACUAGGUGUGGGGGACAUUCCACGUUUUCCGCGCCGUAGCUAACGCAUUAAGUGCCCCGCCUGGGGAGUACGGCCGCAAGGCUAAAACUCAAAGGAAUUGACGGGGGCCCGCACAAGCGGCGGAGCAUGCGGAUUAAUUCGAUGCAACGCGAAGAACCUUACCAAGGCUUGACAUGAACCGGAAACGUCUGGAAACAGGCGCCCCACUUGUGGUCGGUUUACAGGUGGUGCAUGGUUGUCGUCAGCUCGUGUCGUGAGAUGUUGGGUUAAGUCCCGCAACGAGCGCAACCCUCGUUCCAUGUUGCCAGCGCGUAAUGGCGGGGACUCAUGGGAGACUGCCGGGGUCAACUCGGAGGAAGGUGGGGACGACGUCAAAUCAUCAUGCCCCUUAUGUCUUGGGCUUCACGCAUGCUACAAUGGCCGGUACAAAGGGUUGCGAUACUGUGAGGUGGAGCUAAUCCCAAAAAGCCGGUCUCAGUUCGGAUUGGGGUCUGCAACUCGACCCCA